rnacentral:rRNA from 1 species
GAUGAACGCUGGCGGCGUGCCUAAUACAUGCAAGUCGAGCGAACAGACGAGGAGCUUGCUCCUCUGACGUUAGCGGCGGACGGGUGAGUAACACGUGGAUAACCUACCUAUAAGACUGGGAUAACUUCGGGAAACCGGCGCUAAUACCGGAUAAUAUAUUGAACCGCAUGGUUCAAUAGUGAAAGACGGUUUUGCUGUCACUUAUAGAUGGAUCCGCGCCGCAUUAGCUAGUUGGGAAGGUAACGGGUUACCAAGGCAACGAGGCGUAGCCGACGUGAGAGGGUGAUCGCCCACACGGGAAGUGAGCCACGGUCCAGACUCCUACGGGAGGCAGCAGUAGGGAAUCUUCCGCAAUGGGGGAAAGCCUGACGGAGCAACGCCGAGUGAGUGAUGAAGGUCUUCGGAUCGUAAAACUCUGUUAUUAGUGAAGAACAAAUGUGUAAGUAACUAUGCCCGUCUUGACGGUACCUAAUAAGAAAGCCACGGCUAACUACGUG